CUCAGGAUGAACGCUGGCGGCGUGCCUAAUACAUGCAAGUCGAACGAGUUCUGAUUAUUGAAAGGUGCUUGCAUCUUGAUUUGAUUUUGAACGAGUGGCGGACGGGUGAGUAACACGUGGGUAACCUGCCCUUAAGUGGGGGAUAACAUUUGGAAACAGAUGCUAAUACCGCAUAAAUCCAAGAACCGCAUGGUUCUUGGCUGAAAGAUGGCGUAAGCUAUCGCUUUUGGAUGGACCCGCGGCGUAUUAGCUAGUUGGUGAGGUAACGGCUCACCAAGGCAAUGAUACGUAGCCGAACUGAGAGGUUGAUCGGCCACAUUGGGACUGAGACACGGCCCAAACUCCUACGGGAGGCAGCAGUAGGGAAUCUUCCACAAUGGACGCAAGUCUGAUGGAGCAACGCCGCGUGAGUGAAGAAGGCUUUCGGGUCGUAAAACUCUGUUGUUGGAGAAGAAUGGUCGGCAGAGUAACUGUUGUCGGCGUGACGGUAUCCAACCAGAAAGCCACGGCUAACUACGUGCCAGCAGCCGCGGUAAUACGUAGGUGGCAAGCGUUAUCCGGAUUUAUUGGGCGUAAAGCGAGCGCAGGCGGUUUUUUAAGUCUGAUGUGAAAGCCCUCGGCUUAACCGAGGAAGUGCAUCGGAAACUGGGAAACUUGAGUGCAGAAGAGGACAGUGGAACUCCAUGUGUAGCGGUGAAAUGCGUAGAUAUAUGGAAGAACACCAGUGGCGAAGGCGGCUGUCUGGUCUGUAACUGACGCUGAGGCUCGAAAGCAUGGGUAGCGAACAGGAUUAGAUACCCUGGUAGUCCAUGCCGUAAACGAUGAAUGCUAGGUGUUGGAGGGUUUCCGCCCUUCAGUGCCGCAGCUAACGCAUUAAGCAUUCCGCCUGGGGAGUACGACCGCAAGGUUGAAACUCAAAGGAAUUGACGGGGGCCCGCACAAGCGGUGGAGCAUGUGGUUUAAUUCGAAGCAACGCGAAGAACCUUACCAGGUCUUGACAUCUUUUGAUCACCUGAGAGAUCAGGUUUCCCCUUCGGGGGCAAAAUGACAGGUGGUGCAUGGUUGUCGUCAGCUCGUGUCGUGAGAUGUUGGGUUAAGUCCCGCAACGAGCGCAACCCUUAUGACUAGUUGCCAGCAUUUAGUUGGGCACUCUAGUAAGACUGCCGGUGACAAACCGGAGGAAGGUGGGGAUGACGUCAAAUCAUCAUGCCCCUUAUGACCUGGGCUACACACGUGCUACAAUGGAUGGUACAACGAGUUGCGAGACCGCGAGGUCAAGCUAAUCUCUUAAAGCCAUUCUCAGUUCGGACUGUAGGCUGCAACUCGCCUACACGAAGUCGGAAUCGCUAGUAAUCGCGGAUCAGCACGCCGCGGUGAAUACGUUCCCGGGCCUUGUACACACCGCCCGUCACACCAUGAGAGUUUGUAACACCCGAAGCCGGUGGCGUAACCCUUUUAGGGAGCGAGCCGUCUA
rnacentral:rRNA from 2 species